AUGCAAGAUUAGGUCAGCCUGGACCUGGACGGCUUCUCGCUCGACCACGGGUUUCCGGAGGACUACGACCUCGAGGAAGAGGAUGAGUUGGACAUCGAUGGGGAGCCUUUGUUUGAGGACGAGCUCGCCAACCAAGCCACCGGCGCGAAGCCAAAGCGCAAGAGAAAGCGGACGACGGCAUACAGGGCGCCCGAGGACAAGCUCCUUUGUAAGUGUUGGAGGGACAUUGGGCAAGACCCCAAGGUCGGUGUCAAACAAAAGACAUCAACCUUUUGGAUUCGCGUCCACCAUCAGUUCCAUGAAUGCAAGAAGUUUGCGUCAUACCAAAUGCAUAGCACACGCGGGUGGGUGUCCAUUUAAAAGCGAUUGGGGUGA
rnacentral:rRNA from 1 species